CCUACGGGUGGCAGCAGUCGAGAAUCAUUCACAAUGGGGGAAACCCUGAUGGUGCGACGCCGCGUGGGGGAAUGAAGGUCUUCGGAUUGUAAACCCCUGUCAUGUGGGAGCAAAUUAAAAAGAUAGUACCACAAGAGGAAGAGACGGCUAACUCUGUGCCAGCAGCCGCGGUACUACAGAGGUCUCAAGCGGUGUUCGGAAUCACUGGGCGUAAAGCGUGCGUAGGCUGUUUCGUAAGUCGUGUGUGAAAGGCGCGGGCUCAACCCGCGGACGGCACAUGAUCCUGCGAGACUAGAGUAAUGGAGGGGGAACCGGAAUUCUCGGUGUAGGAGUGAAAUGCGUAGAUAUCGAGAGGAACACUCGUGGCGAAGGCGGGUUCCUGGACAUUAACUGACGCUGAGGCACGAAGGCCAGGGGAGCGAAAGGGAUUAGAUACCCCGGUAGUC
rnacentral:rRNA from 1 species